UUAUCUCCUGCUGAAAUGUGAUGUGCUGUUUACCAUCUGCAAAGCAUUAAAUGACCUCGUCCCUAUUUAAAUCAGAGACUGUCUUGACAACUGCUGUCUGCAGCAGCGCUUUGGCUGCCUUCCCUUGGGCUGAGGCUGCAGCAGGGCUAAGCAUAGUCGGGGAGAAGCUUCACUGGGAGAAGUGGACGAGGUUUUUUUCAAAUAGAGCUGCUCAGGUUUUCAAAAUGCUUGUUUAGAAUGAUUAACAUCGUUUAUUCACUGAAAAUCGCAAUUAUAGUUUUCAUUUUGUUUUCUAUAUUUUAAUAAGCAUUCAGAAAAUAUUUCACUCAGUGAUACCAGUUUGGGUGAGUAGAUUAGUAUCCUGGCCAUCAGGAAACAGGAUCUAUGUGAAGGAUGAAGCUCACCUACCAGCUACACCUGGAAGAAGGUAGCUCCAGCUGCACGCCUGGUGAAAAGCAAAUGGAAGAUGGUUAAGUGCAGAGCCUUUGGCAAUAUGCCCCACGCAGCAGGAUCAGGGCCUGGGAUCAGCGCAGGCAAAGGAGACGGGACCUGCAAACAGAGCAGACGUUGCUGCAAGAGCCUUGGUACCUCGUGAUGCAUUUGGUCCACUUCCCGGCACUGUGGUGGUGCCGCCAGCACGGGGCGGCCCCGGACCCCACGCUGUCCCCGUCCCCACUUUCGCUGCUCAGCCCUGGCCACAUCCAGCCUGAGACGAGGUGUUUUCUUUAAAGCGUGGGGCAGCCCAGGCCAGCUCUCUGCCACGCUCUCUGCAGCUGCAACGGGAUAAUAACGCUAGUGCCAGGCAUAAAGAUUAAUAUUUUAAAGUGAUUUGAGGUUAAAAAGUGCUGUGUGGAUCUGAUCUGUGCUAGUGAAGGUCAGUAGAAGCUUUAGGAUCUGAAUGGAGAAAUAAUAUUGUUAAAAAUAAUGAUUUAUUCUUUUCAAAUCCAAUUAUUUUGCCAAAGAACAGCGAGUAGUUUCAGCGUAAUGGCUGGUAAGUCUGUUACAAGACAAGCAAACCCUGCGUGGCUCAGAGCACUUACGUUCGCCCUAAUGCUUUCUCUCCUCGUCAUUUAAGUUUCUGCUUGCAAAAUAAUUUAUAGUAAGCUCUGCAAUGCAUAUUAAUUAAAAUGCACUCGCAGUCAGAUGCCUCCCUCCACGCUACUGUUUCCUUUCGCCCGUGGAUGGCUUUGGCUCGCAGCAGUGGCACCGCGUGCCGUGCAGCCGCACCGCAAACACGUAGCUCUGGGCUACUCGUGCCGCGUGCCGCCGCGCAGCGUGCUCCGCUUGCCCAUCCCCUCCUGUGCGGCAGCCGCUCUGCCAGCGGAUUUCUUUGCUUUCAGGUAAUUUCUCAGGCACGGACAGACCGUCACGGUGUGCCCACCGAAGCACCGGCCAAAACCGUGUCUUUGCCGCUCCGUGAGCAGCGCAGGAAGCACUGAUUUCCUGGCUGAUAGGAUCGCACCUGUGUGCUGUGCCGUGCAGUUACGCGGAAGCAGGGCGCUAUGCGUUCUUCUGCUCGUAGCUCUAUAGCAGGUCUUUGCACAACUACCUAUUUAAUGUUGGUUAUUCGGGUCAAGCCACGCGUUCAGCACACGUGUGCGUUAGGUGCCUGGACGCGUCGGCGUGUGUGUGCACACCCCAGGGCACCUGCGCUCGCAAGCGUGACUCACGCCGAGCGGCUCCAUCGCCGCCCCGUCCCCCGAGCGAGCGGGUGGCACGGGUCUGCCAGCCCCGCUGUGUCCGGUGUCAUUGUGGGAACGCGCGGCCUGUCCUCGCGCUGAGCACUGCAUUAUUCAUCAGAGAGGUUAAGGAGCGGAGGAGCUGCUGUGGCUCCCAUUUGAACUCCUGCUGCAUUGAAAGGGUGGUCAUUACCUGUCUCCUCUCCCAGGGCAGAUCCAAUUUGCCGGGAUGCAUAUUGCCCGGGAAGCUGUGCAGGGCUCCUCAGGGCCGGGAUGAUUUAUUUAUAGGCAUGACCUUACCGCCGCUUUGAAGAUUUUCUGCUGACAUUUGUGUGCUGCAUAUUGUUUAUGGCAAGAAACUCUGUCUUUCUAAUUCCACUUUCAACUUGUAAAAAGUUUUCUGCAAUCUCUUUUUUUGGUUUGUUAAACUCCAGAAUAAACAAUCAGUCAGAGUUAUAGCUUGCGUGCCUCUGCGGCUAUGUCAUUUAAAUGCUGUUCUUGUUUCCCAUGCCGAUGUUUUCAUGUAGCAUUUUCGUGCAGAGUAUACGGCCCGGUGCUGCAGCUCCGCUGUACCGAGCGGCAGUGCUCCCUUCACCCGCGCGCCGCAGCGUCGUACCCAGCGUAAAGGUCCUCUCCAA